GAUGAACGCUGGCGGCGUGCUUAACACAUGCAAGUCGAACGGAAAGGCCCAAGCUUGCUUGGGUACUCGAGUGGCGAACGGGUGAGUAACACGUGGGUGAUCUGCCCUGCACUUCGGGAUAAGCCUGGGAAACUGGGUCUAAUACCGGAUAGGACCACAUUUUGGAUGGUGUGGUGGAAAGUUUUUCGGUGUGGGAUGAGCUCGCGACCUAUCAGCUUGUUGGUGGGGUAAUGGCCUACCAAGGCGUCGACGGGUAGCCGGCCUGAGAGGGUGUACGGCCACAGUGGGACUGAGAUACGGCCCAGACUCCUACGGGAGGCAGCAGUGGGGAAUAUUGCACAAUGGGCGCAAGCCUGAUGCAGCGACGCCGCGUGGGGGAUGACGGCCUUCGGGUUGUAAACUCCUUUCGCUAGGGACGAAGCGUUAUGUGACGGUACCUGGAGAAGAAGCACCGGCUAACUACGUG
rnacentral:rRNA from 1 species